CAGUAACUGUAUAUUACAACAGCUGAAAGCUGCUUGGUUGAGUACUCUGCCUUGGAGUAGAGCUGCUUGCAACACUGAAUUGAAUGAGAAGACUUCUGCAGAUGCAGAGAGGGUGAGGCUACAAUCCUACACUGAUUUACCUGGGAGUAAAACCCCCUGAACUUGAUGCGGCUUACUUCUAAGCAGGUGGCACUCAGAAACAGUCCCAGAAGCAUGUCUGACUCACCAGCCACUAUGCACCUAACUUAAAACUAUUCACUCUUUGUGUUGUACCUGCGAAAAUCCAG